UCGGUCGGUGACGAAGCUCCC
rnacentral:miRNA from 1 species